GAUGAACGCUGGCGGCGUGCCUAAUACAUGCAAGUCGAGCGAAUGGAUUAAGAGCUUGCUCUUAUGAAGUUAGCGGCGGACGGGUGAGUAACACGUGGGUAACCUGCCCAUAAGACUGGGAUAACUCCGGGAAACCGGGGCUAAUACCGGAUAACAUUUUGAACCGCAUGGUUCGAAAUUGAAAGGCGGCUGCGGCUGUCACUUAUGGAUGGACCCGCGUCACAUUAGGUAGUUGGUGAGGUAACGGCUCACCAAGGCAACGAUGCGUAGCCGACCUGAGAGGGUGAUCGGCCACACUUGGACUGAGACACGGCCCAGACUCCUACGGGAGGCAGCAGUAGGGAAUCUUCCGCAAUGGACGAAAGUCUGACGGAGCAACGCCGCGUGAGUGAUGAAGGCUUUCGGGUCGUAAAACUCUGUUGUUAGGGAAGGACAAGUGCUAGUUGAAUAAGCUGGCACCUUGACGGUACCUAACCAGAAAGCCACGGCUAACUACGUGCCAGCAGCCGCGGUAA
rnacentral:rRNA from 1 species